rnacentral:snRNA from 1 species
GUGCCUGCUUCAACAGCACAUACAGUAAAUUGGAACUUCUCUGGACACACAGAAGAUUAGCACAGCGCGUGUGUAAGGGUGACGUGCAGGUCUGUGUGAAGCAUUCCAUAUGUUU